UACGUAGGGUGCAAGCGUUAUUCGGAAUUACUGGGCGUAAAGCGUGCGCAGGCGGUUCGCAAAGUCUGAUGUGAAAGCCCCGGGCUCAACCUGGGAACUGCAUUGGAAACUAACGGGCUCGAGUGUGGCAGAGGGGGGUGGAAUUCCACGUGUAGCAGUGAAAUGCGUAGAGAUGUGGAGGAACACCGAUGGCGAAGGCAGCCCCCUGGGCUAACACUGACGCUCAGGCACGAAAGCGUGGGGAGCAAACAGG
rnacentral:rRNA from 1 species